GCUGUGAUACCCUCAUUUCAGAGAAGGUCGCAGAGAGCUCAAGCUAUGAAGCUGAAAGCGAAUCUGAGCCCAGUGUUGCUCUACCAUCACUUCCCAAACCAACAUCAGUGAAACUGGGGACCGAUGGCUGCACUGAAGUGUCUGUCCACUGUUGGGAAACUGCUAAGGCACAACCCACCGCCCAAGGAAAGGCCCUCCUGCUGGGCCUGUUCAGCACCGACGUCCUGCUUCAGUCUAACCUGACAGGAGGGGUCAAUAAGGUCGAUCCAUCUGCAGAAAGACGCCAGCCUCUGGAUCCCAAGAAACUUAAAGCUUUACUUGAUGCAGUUGUUCAGAAACACCCAGGGGUGAAGAUUUCUGACAUCCGCACAUCCUUAAACAAAAGCAUCUGUGAGCUGAGACACCAGGAAAAGAAAAAGUCCAAGGAAAACUGAGGGACAUGCUAAGGAAGAGUGGUUUUCAGAAAU